rnacentral:rRNA from 1 species
CACACCGCCCGUCACAUCACGAAAGUGGGCUGUACUAGAAGACGUUGAGCUAACCCGUAAGGGAGGCAGGCGUCCACGGUAUGGUUCAUGAUUGGGGUG